UGCUCCAUGGCUGAGUUGGUUACAGCGUCCGACUGUUAUGGUACCGGUCGAUAGAUGGUUUACAUCGGAAGGUCGAGAGUUCGACCCUCUCUGGAGCAG